UACGUAGGGGGCUAGCGUUGUCCGGAUUUAUUGGGCGUAAAGAGCGUGUAGGCGGCCAGGUAGGUCCGCUGUGAAAACUCGAGGCUCAACCUCGAGAUGUCGGCGGAAACCAUCUGGCUAGAGUCCGGAAGAGGAGAGUGGAAUUCCUGGUGUAGCGGUGAAAUGCGCAGAUAUCAGGAGGAACACCAACGGCGAAGGCAGCUCUCUGGGACGUUACUGACGCUGAGACGCGAAAGCGUGGGGAGCAAACAGG
rnacentral:rRNA from 1 species